AGUGCAAUUGCUAGGUCAUAUGGUAAUUGCAUAUUUACUUUAGUAGAGAAUCCCAAAUUGCUUCCCAUAGUGGCUGUACCAUUUUGCACUCCAAUGAGCAAU
rnacentral:pre_miRNA from 1 species